GACGAACCGUGCGAACGUUGUUCGGAAUCACUGGGCUUAAAGGGCGCGUAGGCGGCUGAUCAAGUCAGGGGUGAAAUCUUUCGGCUCAACCGGAAAAGUGCCUUUGAUACUGGUCAGCUUGAGGGAGGUAGGGGCAUGUGGAACUUCCGGUGGAGAGGUGAAAUUCGUAGAUAUCGAGAGGAACACCGGUGGCGAAGGCGGCCAACUGGACGAAGACUGACGCUGAGACACGAAAGCGUGGGGAGCAAACAGG
rnacentral:rRNA from 1 species